rnacentral:rRNA from 1 species
GACGAACGCUGGCGGCGUGCUUAACACAUGCAAGUCGAACGGAGUGGCGAACGGGCGAGUAUUACGUGAGUAACCUGCCCUCAACUGUGGGAUAAGCCUGGGAAACUGGGUCUAGUACUGCAUAGUUGGGGAUGGGCUCGCGGCCUAGCAGCGUGUUGGUGGGGUGAUGGCCUACGAAGGAGGUGCCGGGUAGCCGGCCUGCGAGGGUGGUCGGCCACAUUGAGACUGAGGUACGGCCCAGACGCCUACGGGAGGCAGCAGUGGGUGAUAGUGCACAAUGGGCGCGAGCCUGAUGCAGCGACGCCGCGUGAGGGAUGAAGGCUUUCGGGUUGUAAACCUCUUUCGGUACAGAACGGGUAUGUGCAGAAGAAGCACCGGCUAACUCCGUGCCAGCAGCCGCGGUAAUUC